rnacentral:lncRNA from 11 species
GGCUGUGUGUUUUGCAGCACCGAGAGUAACCGGAAUGUAUGUUGAUCCUGGACAGCUUGCUGAAGAUUUGACAUUGUGCCACGUUCGGCAGAGGAAGGGGGGAAAUUGGCAAGGCCGCCUGGAACAAACAGCUCUUUUGGCCGAAAGAAAAUAGAGCGAAGAAGGGAAACACCACCUUCGCCAGGAAAACUCAUGAUUAGAAACUGGGGAAGGCAGAUCUGCACAGAGUCAUUCCACAACCGGGACCUCCUGCUCUUUGAGGCAAUGCUCCUGUUCUUUAAACUUUGGGAAUGCAGCAAAGAAAUCCUAACCCAGCUGCAAUUUGGCUGGGAUGGAGGCUGGAAGCGGAAACCAUAAUGCAAACUGCUAGCAUGGGACCAUCUGGCUGUAUUGACUGCACUGCCAGUAAGGCAGCUGCUCGGAAGCCUUUUUCACUGCAUCUCUGCAAAAAAGAGGUACCUGGAGCCACUAAGAAGAUUUUAUAGCAGAUGAAGAAAUUCCUACGUUUGGCACUUGGACAAAGGCAUCUAACAUUGUCUAACUAUUAUUUUUCUUCAAGUUUAUCUGUCUGCCUAUUGCAUGUUUUGCAGUUCAGAAAUAUAGCUCUAACUAGGGCCUCAUCUACUGCCCUAUAAUGUAAUUUGAGAUUGCAUUAUAUAAACGUAGACUCAUAUAAUGCAGUUCGAAGUAGUUUUUAUUUAUUGUGUCAGAAGCGAAUUGAGGAUACAGUUAUAAUCUAUUUUUAAAAACACAAAGUUAAAAACUU